rnacentral:rRNA from 1 species
AACGAACGCUGGCGGCAUGCCUAACACAUGCAAGUCGAACGAGACCUUCGGGUUUAGUGGCGCACGGGUGCGUAACGCGUGGGAACCUGCCCUUAGGUUCGGAAUAACUCCCCGAAUGGGGUGCUAAUACCGGAUAAUGUCUUCGGACCAAAGAUUUAUCGCAUUUGGAUGGGCCCGCGUUGGAUUAGCUAGUUGGUAGGGUAAAAGCCUACCAAGGCGACGAUCCAUAGCUGGUCUGAGAGGAUGAUCAGCCACACUGGGACUGAGACACGGCCCAGACUCCUACAGGAGGCAGCAGUGGGGAAUAUUGGACAGUGGGCGGAAGCCUGAUCCAGCAAUGCCGCGUGAGUGAUGAAGGCCUUAGGGUUGUAAAGCUCUUUUACCCGGGAUGAUAAUGACAGUACCGAGAGAAUAAGCUCCGGCUAACUCCGUG